AUUGAACGCUGGCGGCACGCCUUACACAUGCAAGUCGAACGGUAACAGGUCUUCGGAUGCUGACGAGUGGCGAACGGGUGAGUAAUACAUCGGAACGUGCCUAGUAGUGGGGGAUAACUACUCGAAAGAGUGGCUAAUACCGCAUGAGAUCUACGGAUGAAAGCAGGGGAUCGAAAGACCUUGUGCUACUAGAGCGGCCGAUGGCAGAUUAGGUAGUUGGUGGGAUAAAAGCUUACCAAGCCGACGAUCUGUAGCUGGUCUGAGAGGACGAUCAGCCACACUGGGACUGAGACACUGCCCAGACUCCUACGGGAGGCAGCAGUGGGGAAUUUUGGACAAUGGGCGAAAGCCUGAUCCGGCAAUGCCGCGUGCAGGAUGAAGGCCAUCGGGUUGUAAACUGCUUUUGUACGGAACGAAAAGCCCUGGGUUAAUACCCUGGGGUCAUGACGGUACCGUAAGAAUAAGCACCGGCUAACUACGUGCCAGCCGCCGCCGUAA
rnacentral:rRNA from 1 species